rnacentral:rRNA from 1 species
UACGAAGGGGGCUAGCGUUGCUCGGAAUGACUGGGCGUAAAGGGCGCGUAGGCGGUUUGGACAGUCAGAUGUGAAAUUCCUGGGCUCAACCUGGGGGCUGCAUUUGAUACGUUUCGGACUAGAGUGGGGAAGAGGGUCGUGGAAUUCCCAGUGUAGAGGUGAAAUUCGUAGAUAUUGGGAAGAACACCGGUGGCGAAGGCGGCGACCUGGUCCUUGACUGACGCUGGAGGCGCGAAAGCGUGGGGAGCAAACAGG